UUCCCUUUUAUUAUUAUUUUUUAUAAAAUGUUGAUACCUGCUUAAUUUUUACCAUUACAUAAUGUUGAGUUGCAUUACUUUUUUGUUAGAAAACUAAGAACUCAUAAAUCAAUUGGGGGAGGAAACCAAGAAGAUUAACAGGAAUAUAGAACUAACAAAGUAAUUUAAUCGAAUAUAUAUUAUAUAAUCAUAUCUCAAACAAAUGAAUGAAUCAACAAAUCAUAUACUCUAUAUGUUACUACAACUCUAUACUCGAUUAUAGUAUUUCUAAGGUCUAAACCAAAGUGGAACAUGAAGAUGUAGCAGGAUCAUAUAGAGCAGGAACCAAGUAUUUCCUUCCAUUUGUACCAUGUGCAUUGUAGCUUGCACCUGUAGUCUUGUCAACCAAUAAAUCACCAGCAUAGCCUGGGUAAGCGCCCUUGGCGUAGACACCAGGGCAAGCAGAUGCAGCUUCUAAUGGCGCAUCUGCUUCGCCCUGAUAGUAGCCGUUUCCAAAUGGGUUCGUUGCCGUUCCAGCUAAUAAGCUAGCUAAGUUGAUCACCAUACCAUCAACACCCACAUCGUUGUUUGGUGCACCCAAUGGUGCGCUCUGUGGUCCGUAAAUGGGUUGGUGGAAUGGCCAGGCACAGUAGCCAGGACACAGAGUCUCUGAGUUACCAACCCAAAUAUAAGCAAAUUUGUAAGUCUUGCCAUUAAUAACAGCACCUUUAGAAGCACCAUGAGUUCCACACCGAUUGACACAGAACCCAUCAACAGCAACAUCAGAGGCGGUCAAAACAACGUUAAUGGCGUCUUUCUGUGCACCUUUUGAUGCUAAUUGCACGAUUUGCUUCUGGGUCAGUGAUUUUCCUAGGGAAUAGUUUUCGAUGAGAACUUGUUUCCCCAAAGAGAGGGAAAGGGCGUUCUUAGAAUUAGCGAGAUGGUAGUAUUUUUCAGUGAUUUUCCACCAUUGUGCUACUGAAGGAUUGGUUUUAGAUGGAAUUGAAGAAGAAAGGGAGGUGAUGAAAUCAGAUACAAUAGCUCUUUGGGAUGGCUUGAAUUUUCCAUACCAAAUCAAAUUUACUGAUAUUUUGCCAGAAAGAAGUGCACCCUUGUGGUACUUCAGGAGCUGCAUUUGUGGGUCUUGGACUAAAGCAGUGAUCUUUCUUGAAGCAAAACACACAUUGAGGAAAGACAUCAACACAAAAAGUGAUAAAAUGAAAUGGGUCGAAUUGGAACCGAGUAGAGACAUUUUUUUAAUGGUGAGAAAUAAAAGAGUUUAGGAAUUAUGUUAGGAUAGAAUGUAGGAAAAGAGAGGCAGAAGAAUGAAUAUAUAAGGGAAUGAAGGGUGUAAUUAUUGGGAAGGUGCUGAGAAAGAAGGUUACAGUGACUUUAACUAAAAACGCGUUGGCAAUUAAAUUAAGUGGAGCUAGCUAGCUGCAAGUGCAACACAUGCAUAAGGAGGAAUAGGAAAAAACUUAACUGCCAACUUUUAAGUAGCAGUUACUACUACAGGCUACAGCGGCUCAACUAUUCACAUCACUAUUCCAAUUGACUUUAUUGAUCAUUCAUUAAUGUUUAAUUGAUAUUUUAAUUGUUAUAAUUGGGCAAAACAGAGUAAUGAAGUUCACAUACCAACUUGUUUCAAAAGAAAGCUAAAUCCCCCUCCCUCAACUAAACCUAUUACCAAUUGCAACCUUAUUUUUCCUCCUCAUACAUGCUAGUAGCCUAGUAUUGGGUACGUAAAUUCUACGCCUCUUUACUCAGAGCGUCAUAUCCAUGUUUAAUAAUGCGUAAUGAAGUACGUAGCUGCCACUUUACACAGAUUCACUCUCAAAAUUUGAACAUUACGGAUCUUAUAAAUUGGGACGAAGAGCUCUAUUUAAUUUGAAGUUCAUUUCAGUAUUUUUUUUUCUUCAUAUUGUAAGGACCAGCCACUUUGCCAUUAAAACCACGCAGCUUCUUGGUUCUUUUUGUAUACAAACUACAUAUCUAAUUUCUAAAAGGAAUCCUAUGAGCACCAGGCUAAUUCAGUGUAAGGGAUUUUUUUUUUAAUUAUGCUGAAUAGUAAAAGAAAUUUAUUAUUAUUAUUAUUUAGUACAACACAACAUUCCUCCCAGCUUGUUCAUCAUUGAGCAUUAUCAAUUCCUAUAAUGGUUGUCAACUGGUCAUGACAUCCAAGCCCUACCAAAGAACAAAACAAUACACGUUAGAUAUGCCUGAUUUCUAGUCAUAUCAAACCUCUUGUCUUAUGCAAUUUGUGUUGAUCCAUUUAUUAAAUAAAACUUGAGACAUGCCAGCUAUCUAUAUUGCUCUUCUGCCUAGUCGAAACAGAAAAAGAGACACUAAAUUAUUGGCUUCUCAAUUAGUCUAACAUAUAAAAUGUAUGAAUUGAUCACUAAUCAAUUGAUCUGAAUUCCCAAGAUAGUCGUCAAACUGUUAGAGGCAAAAUUUGCACUAUGAUCGAUUAUGUAACAAGGCCUAUACACGAAUGUAAUUGAGAACAAUAUUGAAAUGACAGAUAAUAAGAUAGUCUUGGAUGAAAAUAGGCCUUAGCCAAGCAUGACUUACAAAUGUAUGAAUGGUAGAAGUACAAGUUAUGCUCAUCAAAGGGGGUUUAACAUAUGGGAGAUAUAAUGCUUAUUAUAAAGUUAACUUGUAUUAGGUGUUAAUGAAGUUUUUCACUAUCAUCUUUCAUUCCGAUUUAAGAAUAAACUGUUCAUUAAGGCUAUAAAUCUAAGACCUUAGGAGAGGUUUGUAAGAUUAUUGAUGAUAAUAAAGAACUACCAAGGCUAUUACUCUCCUUGUUUGCCUUUGUAUUUUGUUCAAUUUGUAGAAAAACAUAUUAUCACAACUUUAGAGAAUGCAUGUCUUGAAAUAUUUUGUGAGCAAGUUAUAAUGCUAUAUGCGAUUAGUAAAAGUUAAAAUAAGAUAUAAAAAAAACAAGUUUCUCAUAUAUUAUCAAAUGAACUAAUCAAUAAAUCAUAUAUUACAAUGCUAUGCUCAAUUAUAGUAGAUCCUAUUUUGUAAAUACUGUUUCUCUCUACACUAGAGUUGAACAUGAAGAUGUAGCAGGAUCAUAUAGAGCAGGAACCAAGUAUUUCCUUCCAUUUGUACCAUGUGCAUUGUAGCUUGCACCUGUUGUUUUAUCCACCAAUAAAUCUCCAGCGUAGCCUGGGUAAGCGCCCUUCGCAUAGACACCAGGGCAAGCAGAUGCAGCUUCCAAUGGCGCAUCUGCUUCGCCCUGGUAGUAACCGUUUCCAAAUGGGUUUGUGGCGGUUCCAGCUAAUAAGCUAGCUAAGUUGAUCACCAUACCAUCAACACCCACAUCGUUGUUUGGUGCACCCAAUGGUGGGUUUUGUGGUCCAUAGAUGGGCUGGUGGAAUGGCCACGCACAGUAGCCAGGACACAGAGUCUCUGAGUUACCAACCCAAAUAUAAGCAAAUUUAUAAGUUUUACCCUUAAUAACAGCACCCUUAGAAGCCCCAUGAGUUCCACACCGAUUAACACAGAACCCAUCAACAGCAACAUCAGAUGCGGUCAAUACAACGUUAAUGGCGUCUCUUUGUUCACCCUUUGAUGCCAAUUGAACGAUUUGUUUCUGGGUUAGUGAUUUUCCUAGGGAAUAAUUUUCGAUGAGAACUUGUUUGCCUAAAUUAAGGGAAAGGGUGUUCUUAGAAUUGGUGAGAUGGUAGUAUUUUUCAGUGGUUUUCCACCAUUGUGCUACUGAAGGAUUGAUUUUAGAUGGAAUUGAAGAAGAAAGGGAGUUGAUGAAAUCGGAUACAAUAGCUCUCUGGGAUGGCUUGAAUUUGCCAUACCAAAUCAGAUUAACAGAGAUUUUGCCAGAAAGAAGUGCACCCUUGUGGUAUUUCAAAAGCUGCAUUUGUGGGUCUUGUACUAAAGCAGUGAGCUUUCUUGAAGCAAAGCACACAUUAAAGAAGGAAAUAACAAGAAAGAGUUUCAAAAUGAAAUGGGUCGAAUUGGAAGUGAGAGAAGACAUAUUUUGUAUUUCUUUGUAAGUAUUUGAUGGAAAUUUGAGUGUGUAAGUAGUAUGGAUGUUGGAGAAGAGAGGCGGAUUAUAUAUAGCGCAAGCAAUUGAAAGAGUGCGUUUUGCUUGUUACGAAUGUGCGAAGAAGGAGAAAAGUUGACUUUAAAAUAAAGCGCGUUUAGCAUUAACUAGUAGCAGCUGUGUAACUAACAUAAGGAAGAUCAAAAUAACUUUAAAGCGAUUUCUAUUUCCGCGGCCCUACUAUGGGCAUUGCUCUCACUGCUAUAAUUGACUUCAUUAGUGUUGCUUUCGUGAAAGUCAAAAUAUUGGAAGAAAUGUGCAAAACAAAGUAAUGUAAAUAUACUAACCCACAUCCCCAUUCCCCAAAAUAACCUAUUACCAACUACUCUGAAAAAUGGCGAAAUGGUCUGAUAGACCCUUGUAUUUGUAUCAGUUUGUAUUCUGAAUCCUUCUACUUACCCAUUUGUCAUUUGAACCCUUAAACUCAAUAAAACACAAUUUAUCGGACCCCUGUGACCAUUGACCAUGCUUACGUGUCUUUAAGAUGGCUGAGUUGGCGAAAGUGUGUGACUUCACGCUCCUUAAGGUGAGUGAGUACUAUAUUUCAGUUUUAAAAAUAUUAAUAAAGAUAAAUAUACAAAAUUAUUAAAAGUCUCCAUCUUCUUCACCCACUCCACCUUCAUUUGCAGCCAUCUACAUGCCCCGACUCUUUUUUUUCUCUUCAUACUAUUGUCAUCAUCUUUAAAAGAUCUUGGCAUUGAAACCUCCUUGAGUCCAUUGAAUCACCGCUAGUGGGAGAGAUCGAUGGUGGUGGUGCUCGUCGGAGAAAACUAGUUCGCAGUAGAGUGAGAGAGACAAUGCUAGUCAGUGGAGAAUGAGGCGGGUGAGGGUUGGAGGAUUUAGUUACGACAGUGAAGAGAUUUUCGGCUAGAUCUGCGGCGGCGAUUUAGGUUAGUAGUUAUGUGAUGGUUGAAGGAGGAGGAAAGGAAAAUAGUAGAUUUUGUAUGUUUUAAGAUGGGAAUGGGGACUCACCCUCCGAGGAAGAAAUGCACCAACAGCUUGAUCUCCUCCAUAGAAGCGCCACCAUUGUCAAAGUUCAGAAGAAGUUGAAGAGCUUAUUGCCUAAUCUAUUUUGGAAAUAUGUUGGGUUUCUUUUGUAGCUUAAGGAAUAAAUUUAAAUUUUAUUGUUUUACUUUUUAUUAAAUAAAACACAAUUGAUAUUUUUUUUAAAAAUAAAUAAUAAAUGAUGUGUAAUUUUAAAUCUGACGUGGAUGAUGAUGUGUCAUUUUUGUCGAGAGUUUGAAGUACACACAGAGCCAAUGGGGUUUAAAAUGCUAAGUUACAUUGAAUUUAAGGGUUCAAUUGACAAAUAGUUAAGUAGAAGGGUCCAGAAUACAAAUGCAUACAAGUACAAGGGUCCAUCAGACCAUUUCUCCUUUUAAAUAUCCAGGUAAAUAUAUCAAUGUUAUGUUGAAAAUUCAUAAAGUAAAACAUAAAUAUAAGUGAUAAUUUGUAGAUCUUAUAAUAUAAAAUUUGCAUAAACUUUCUUUUCUUUAUAAUACGUAAAGAGAUAAGAUUUAUUACCCACAAAAGUUUUAUGUGGGUAAUAUAGGUUUUCUUAUGUGGUUAAAAUGCUAAGUUACAUUGAAUUUAAGGGUUCAAUUGACAAAUAGUUAAGUAGAAGGGUCCAAAAUACAAAUGCAUACAAGUACAAGGGUCCAUCAGACCAUUUCGCCUGAAAAAUUGAUAACUACUUCAUGUCUUCAUCUGUUUCCAAUUUUAGGUAAUUCAUUUUAUAUUUUUCAUUGUUAGUUUAUUUGAGGAAGAGCUAUUUUAAAUUUUAGAUUAAUUUUGUAGCUAUAAUAGGAACUUGCAACUAAUUUUCCGGUGACCUUUUAAUGAAAACAGAGUUAUUUUAGGGUUAGAAAAAACAGUUUGAUAACUUUCCUGCAUUAAUAUUAGUCCUUCCAUUUCAAAAUACUAGUAUCGAAUUAAUCUAAUCAAGUUAGUCGAAUUGAUUAUCAAAAAAUGACACGUCACAACUAGUUUGGAAUGGAGGGAUCACAAAACAUAAAUUUGACCACCUUAUGUAAAAUUAUUCCUUAAUAGGAAUGGAGAGGGUAUGUCCAAAAUAUUGUAUAAAAAGUAAGAGAAACCGCUCAGUGGUGAGCGUUCAAUAUUUCUAAAUUUUGAAUUUGGUAAUGAUAGUUAAGAGUAGAUACCAAAUAUUAAAUCUUUAAAUAUUUAUUCGGUAAUCGGUAAAUCAAACUUAUUCGGUAAUACCGCAUUGAAUUUGUAGUCGAUUAUAUCACAAAGUUAAUAUUAUUGCAUUUAUAUUUUUCUAUGUGGAGACACGAUAUAAUAGAAGAUUAAAAAGACAUUAAAAAAAAGAAAGUAAAUUGACACAACUAAAAGACAUGUAUUUGGAUCAUUUAUGUUUAGUAUUUAGCUUUCUCUUUAAAUUUGUACUAAUGAGUUAUUAACUACUUGAUAUAUGUCCUUCAUUAAGUAACUAAUUUAGUAUUCGUGGAAAUACCGAAUACCAAAUGAUUCUAAUGUCUCAUACACCCAUACUCAAAUAUCGUAAUUUUAAAAUUUUACUCCCGAAUACCAUACUAAAUACCGAAUUACCAAAUACCAAAUUUAAUUCGGUAUUAUAUGUCCAACCCUACAUAAUUUGUCAAAUGGUGGUGAAUUCGAUCUUACAUACAUGCCGCGUCUUAGACAUGUUGUAGAUUACCACUUUCUGAUACCUGCCCUGUCUAGUUAAUACUCCUCAAUCCUCAUACCUGCCUUGUGAGUGAAGUAAUUAAUAAAUACUAGGUACGUACUAGUCACCAUUAUAUUCAGGCCCUCACCACUAAAUUAUGCGCCUCUACUCAAAGCGUCGUCUCCAUUAUAGUUACUAACGCAUUAUAGACCAGAUGUCACUUUAGGGACCCUGGUGUGAGGGAUAAAGAUAAGUAGUUCUGGAAUAAUAUUUUGGUGUCUAGUGUGGAAUAAUUUAUUCUAUAGUGAUGAGAUUAGUUAUUUCAUAUACAUGGUGGGUAAAUUAUCCCAGGAUAAUUAAUUAUGGAAUAACUUGUUUACAUAGCUUCACUCUAAGUCUUAAGGCAUUUGGACAAUAUUUCAGUUUAUUAUAUUCAAAGGGUGAUAUAGUAAAAUUAUUCUUCUAUUUAUAUUUUCUUAAGUGUGUAAAGUCAAUAAUAAACAACUAUUGUUGGAUAGAGAGAUUACAAGUUUUAAAUUUGUGAGGAAAAACCCGAAAUGCACAUUUCAGUAUAUAUUUUCACAUGGUGUCGUAUUUCUUUUUGUUUACCCAUUAUACUUGUAAUUUCAAGUGAAAAAUCCUUGAAAACAAUUUGCUUGCAUAUUCUAAUUCCAAUUAAAUAUAUUGGCAGCUUCUUCAAUUAUACAUUAUUAUUAGUACAACACGACAUUCCUUCCAGCUUGUUCAUCACUGUGCAUUUUUAUCUAAUAUAGCCAUCAGUCCCUGUAAUGGCUGUCAACUCGUCAUGGCAUCCAAGCCCUACCAAAGAAAAGAACAAUACAAGUACUUGGACAAAGAAUUAGGAAAAAGGGCACAAGGGACAUGCUUGAUGAUCUCUAGUCAUAUAAAACAACCUCUCGUCUUAUUCUAUUUGGUAAUGUCAGAUACAUUUAUUUGAUAAUUGUAACUUGGAAGCUAUAGAUACUUCUUCAUCUGCCUUGUCAAAAAGGAAAACAGAGCCUACUAAAUAAUUGGCUUCUCCAUGUUUAUGCUUAAUCGACCUUCUUCCAAGUAAUUUUUUUUAGGUGCACAACUAAUAAGCCUUGGCAUUAAUUGAACAUCACUAAUUAAUUAAGCUGAAUAUUCAAAAUAUUGUUGAGUUGCAAUACCUGUCUUUGUUUGUGAUGAAUUAUAGAGUAAUGAAAUAGUAGACUGAGUAUUCAAGAUAGAAAGAAGAGAAAGAGGAGGAGAAGAAGAAGAAGACGAAGCUAGAGAAGAUGGAGAUUGAUCCUUUAUUGUAUUAUUCAAGUUACUUCAAUAAUGAACAAGAGAUCCUUUGUAUAGAUAUAGUAAACUAACUAUCUGCCUUAACAACUAACCUACUAACAGAAUUAGUAACUAACUUACUAUACACAUGUAUAACAGAAUAUUCUAGAUCAUUGUAUAUCCUCAACACUCCCCCUCAAACUUGGUACUGCAAAGAGAUUAGCCAGUCCAAGUUUGGAUAUCAAAUAGACAUGUUGAACUCUGUUUAGACUCUUAGUUAGAACAUCAACAAAUUGAUCAUGUGUCGAUAUAUACUGAGUCUUUAUGAGACCUUGUUGAAUCUUUUCCCUAAUGAAAUGACAGUCUAUUUCUAUGUGCUUGGUCCGUUCAUGGUACACUGGAUUAGCAGCCAUUUGAAUGGUUGUUGUGCUAUCACUAAAUACUGUAAUUGGUAGUUGAACUUGAACUCCAAGAUCUGUAAUAAGGCAUACAAUCCAAGUUAACUCAGCUAUUGUGGAAGCUAAACUCCUAUAUUCUGAUUCAGCUGAACUUCUAGAUACAAUGGACUGUUUCUUUGACUUCCAUGAGAUCAAUGAGUCCCCAAGCUGAAUAAUGAAUCUUGAAACAAAUUUUCUGGAAAAGGUACCAGCAGCCCAGUCUGCAUCAAAAUAGGUUGUGAGAAUAUCUUUCUUGUUGCUCGAUAGUAACAGCCCUUGUCCUGGUUUUCCUUUUAUAUAAUUGACUAUUCUAAGUGUUGUAUCCAUGUGAGUCUGUUUUGAUGUCUGCAAAAACUGACUCAGUGUUUGAACACUAUAGGAUAUGUCUGGUCCGGUUACUGUAAGAUAUAGAAGUUUUCCAAUAAGUCUUUGAUAUGCCCCUUGAUCAGCUAGUGCUUCAUUACUUGAACUUAGACCUUCUUUGAUAUGCUGAUCAUAUUCAGUGGUAGUUAGUUUUGUAGUUGUGUCCACACAAGUGGAUGAUGGUUUUGUUGCACUCAGUCCAGUUUCUGAUAUAAGCUCAAGGGCAUACUUCCUUUGAUGCAUUAUAAUACCUUGCAAAUUCUAUGCCCAAAAAAUACUUUAAUUCACCAAGAUCCUUUAUUUUAAAGUUCUUGUGUAAUGCUUCCUUGGUUGCUAGGAUUUGAUCCAAACUAUCUCCAGUGACAAGUAUGUCAUCUACAUAUACCAACACAAUAAUUAUUCCUUAAUUUGUUUUCUUGAUAUAUAAGGAGUGAUCAAAUUGACUUUGUCUGAAACCACAAUUGAUUAAUGCUUUGGAUAGCUUUGCAUUCCAUUGUCUUGGUGCUUGCUUUAAUCCAUAUAAGGAUUUUGAAAGUCUACAUACACUCUCUCCCUAACUCUGAAAUCCUUGAGGAAGGGACAUGUAGAUUUCAUCCUCCAAGUCACCUUGUAAAAAAACAUUAAAAACAUCCAUUUGGUGAACAUGCCAGUGUCUGGAUGCUGCAAUAGAUAACACAGUCCUUAGUAUGACCAUUUUAACCAUUGGACUGAAUGUUUCUUGAUAGUCAAUGCCCUCCUUUUGGCUAUAACCUUUUGAUACAAGCCUUGCUUUGAACCUCUCAACCUCACUAGUGGAUUUGUACUUUACUUUGUAUAUCCACUUACAUCCAAUUGGCCUUUUGCCUUCAGGUAGAGAUACCACUGUCCAGGUGUUGUUGCUUUCAAGAGCAGACACUUCAGCUUUCAUUGCCUCUACCCACCUAGGAUCCUUCACAGCUUCUUCAUAAGUUAUAGGUUCCACUAUGUUAGAGAACUGAGACAAAUAACACUGGUAAUUAGUAGAGAUAUUAUCAUAUGAAAGAUAGUUGGAUAGUGUAUGAGGCACAUUGUCACUAAUACUUAAUGACACAAAAUCCUCCAUCCAUGUAUGGGGUUGUUUGCCCCUACAUGAAUUUCUUCCAGGUACAAGCUGAAUAUUCCUAGAAGCAGUUGCUGGUGCAGGCACAACUGGAAUAUUAUCAUUUAGAGGAUCUACACCCUAUGAGGUUUCCUCAACAGUCUGAUUAGAAUGUAUAGUAGGAACUGAAAGGUUUCUGAUGCAUUGUCUUCAAUCAGCUCCUGAGACACUGGAGGAAAUAACUGAUACUGAGUAUCCAUAGUAGCUUUGAAAGGGAACAUGUCUUCUCUAAAAGUUACUUCCCUAUGAACAAAUUUUUUUUUGUUAGUUAGAUCAAAUAAAAUGUAACAUUUCUUUGUUUCUGAAUAUCUCAUAUGCACUGCAUGCUUAGUUCUAGACAUUAGUUUAUCUUGUUCAUGUAGUAUCUUUACAUGACAUAAACAACUUAGCACUUUUAAGUGUGUAAGAGAUGGUUUUCUGUUAUAAAGCCUUUCAUAUGGAGACAGGUUAUGUAAUAUAGUAGAAGACAUUCUAUUAAUCAAGUAAGUUGCAACUUUUACACAGUAACCCCAAAAUUUGAGAGGAAUAUUAGCUUGCAAUCUUAUUGCUCUAGUUAUUUCUAAUAUAUGUCUGUGUUUUCUUUCAGGAAUUCCAUUUUGUUGAGGAGUAUACACUACAAAAAAAGGAAAAUAUUGCGACAGUUUCACAGAACCGUCGCUAAUGUAAAAUAAUACGACGGUUUUUUAUAUGUCAUAUUACAUUUGCAAUAGCGGCGGUUAUCACCUAAAUUGCGGCGUUUUGAAACACCAGUUAUAUUUAAAUUUUCCCAACAGAUUUUCUUUUCUUUUAUACGUCAAUAUAUUUUCCUUAAUUUACUCUAUUUUCCUUAAUUUCAUUAUCUAUUUUCCUUAAUUACAAAGAAAUUAAUUUAGCAAAUCAGUCAAACGUUUUUCAUUCUCUCUUCCACUUUAAAUCAAUCCCCAGAUCAGUCUUUGUAAGGUAUAUAUCUAUAUCUUCCAAAUCAAUCACCCAAAUUAGCUCUCAAUGUUCUCAAAUCGAUUGCCCAAAUUAGCUCUCAAUCCAUGGCGUAUACUGUAGAUAAGUUCAUAUCUACAAGGAUAGGCUUCUCAAUUUCAUUGUAAAACUUUUAAAUUUGAAUUUAUCGCUCACUAGAAAAGAAGCCGCCAUCACCAUCUCUUCACCAGCAAAGCUUUUGUUCGUUCAAUCUGAAAUGGUGCUAAGUUGAUAGGUAAGCUUUUUGUUAGAAUUCAUGCAUGUUUGAGAUUGUAGAGAUUUGUUACAGUUCAUACAUGUAGGAUUCAAGUUUUUUGUUAGGGAUUUUCUUUCUUUUAGAUUUGAGUUACAUUUUUUUGAAUAAUCCAUUUAUUAAUCUAAAUUUAUAUAAGAGCUUGAUAGGUUGUUGAGGCAUCAAAACCUGUUGGUGAAGGUGUUGAGAUCAACUUCGAUAGUAAAUCGUGUGAUAGGUAUAUAACUCUUAUUGAUGUAACUUUCUUUUUAUUGAGUGUUUGAGCUGCUGAGAUAUUAAUCAUGAUAUUUUACUGCUCCUGAUGGUGAAACGUCAAGCACAUCGAUAUGUGGUGCUCAGUUGUCCGCAUUGAGAGUUGAUUGUUUAUCAAUAGGCAGAGGAUUCCCGGUCUUUGUUGUUUGUUGAGCAGAGAUGUGGUUGUAGUGAGAAAUAGCCCAAAAUCAUCCCUUACUUUUGGCUUUAGACCUAUAAUCAUCCUUCUUCCCCAUGUUUAAAAGUUGAUAAAUUUUUAGUCUCUUCUUUAACAAACUCAAACUUUAUUCUCUGUUCAUUGUUUCUGACACAGUAGUACUUCAUCACAUUGAAGAAUUUAAAGAAGUUUAUAAAAUAUUAGUACCUACUUUUCACAAUAUUAGUAAGUACAUAGAAUAGGAAAGGUUAAUGACGGUUACACGCUUUGAGUUGCUUUUUUCAGAUAAUUUAUCUUAGUUUCAGUAAAGAAGUGAUGAGAGUGGAGGUAUGUGUAUUUGAAUAAACACUUCAAUCAUUAGCUAAUGUUUCAAUAAUCAUUCCAAUAAAAGGAGUACUAUCCAUGCCUUUGGUAACAGAGAAGGAGGCCAGAUAGGUCUGGGGUUGGGAGGUUAUUUCUCAUUAACUGAAUGUUAUAUAUUAAGCUAGACAUUUCGAAGGUGACUAAAAGAGCACUAAUUGGUGUUGAAAAGUUGAAGUUCUGAGCAGCUUAUGAAAUUCAUCUCGUAGGUUAAAGACAAUGUCCAAGUAGAUCAAAAUGUAUCUCGACAUUUGGUUGAUGAACAUUGUCUCGUUGACUGGAGUCUUCUGGUAAUAUAUUUUUCCCUUCUCUUUGUCCCUUUAUUUGGUUGGAAACUUGGAAUUCUCAUUAUGCUCGGUUCUCAAGUCUGAUAAGAUCAAUCAGGCUCGACUGAAUAUCCUGAUCUGGUUAUGUUGUGACAACGCAUUUUCUUAAUUACUUACUAAUGUUUUACAAUUUGAAAUUUUCAGAAGGCAAAGGGAAAAGAUGUUGAUCGAGGUAAAAUGCGGACUGAAACUCAUAAGAGAAAAGAUGGAAGUUAUGUAACUGAAGCAGCUAGGGAGAUUGGGAUUAAGUAUUCUUCCUAUUCAUGAUUAAUCGAUACUUAUUUUGAACAUGUCCCUUCCCAUAUCUGAAAGUGCAACUUCUUGUAGUGUUCUAUGGUUUCUGUCAGAAUUGUUACAACAACAGAAGGUCAUUGAAAUAACACUAUCAACUAGCUAGUAGUUGUAUAUCAAAUUGUGUUAACGAAACAAACAAGAUACUGAUUGAAAAAGGGAGAGUUGUCUAAGUUAGACAAGAUUGGAAUAGAUGGGCUAGUGUACCAUAAAGUGCAAAUCAUGUGCACAACUGUAAUUAGUUAGAUGCGGUUUCUAAUAACCUCUAGUUUUAGCGUGUAUAUAUGAUGGGAUGCAAUGAUAUUUUAAAUGAAGAAAGGAAUCAAUAUUCUCUUCCUAAUCAACUAGGCUUUCUCUCAAACGUUUCUGUUCCUUUUAAAAAGAUCGACUUGCCAGCUCAUAACUUACCUUCUUCUGAAGCAAAGUUUGUUGGCAUCAUUUCUUUAUUCUUCAAAAUUACCAGCUACUCACCUUCUGAAUGAUUAACUUGUAGAUUUUUUGGUAACAAAUUGUGUAGCAAAUGAGAAAGUAGAGUAUAAGGGUGCAGUUAACCAAAAAUAGGCUGAUGGUUCAUUGGUUUGGCUACAACAUAAUAGUCUUUGAUCUCUUUCAAUUUGUUUGUCUCAUUUUGAUAUGACACCAAGUUUAAGAAACUAAAUAAUACUUUCAAAUCUUGUGAUUUUAAACCAAUGCUCAUGAAUCUUGUGAUCUUAAAUGAUGCCACGUAAAAGGUUAGAAUUUAAGAGUCACCAAAAGAGAAAAGAGACAUUAAGCAGACUAAAGAAAGAUAGCAGGAUAAACAAAUUGAACGAGUGCUUAAACUGUCUAGGAGAUUUGUACUCUUUGUCACUUUAAAUUAUAUAAAUAUGCUUCGGGUGAAUCACUUUAUUGUCACAAGUUGGAGGAAUCUCUUAAUUUCAUAUUUGCUUUUGAACACAUAUCCAAGUCUUGUUUCUCUUCUUUUUUAUCCCCUUUUCAGGCAUGAUGAUGAUGAUGAACCAAGCAUCAAUUAGAAAUCUUUAGGAAGUAACAAAGAUGAUGGACAAAGCAUCGAAUGGAAAUCAUUUUAGGACCCGUUUUUUUAAUACUUUGCUGAAUUACACUUUGAAACUAAUAUUUAGAUGAUGUAAUUUUGGAACAUCGAAUAAGUAAUAACACUCCAAAACAUUAGUAUUUUGAUGGUGUAAUUUUAGAGUACUUUUGUUUUAUAUGAUGAAUAUUUUGCUUAUUUGAUCUUUUAUGCUUGGUUAAAAAUACUAAUUAUAAGAGUUUAAAUGUAUAUGAUUCAAUAAAUAGGAUGUAAACUUGGAUGGACAAAAUUGAAAAAAUUAAUUAUUGUAAUAAAAUUAUUCAGUCAAGAACUAACACUACGACAUUUUUAAACUGUUGCAAGUUUUCUCUUUUUACAAUUACGGCGGUUUCUUACCGCCAUUUUAUAAAACAAAAAAGGUCGCAUAAACGACGGGAUAUUACGACGGUUAUUACAUAUAUAUUAUGACGUUUUUCAAAAAACCGUCGUAAUAUAUUUGUGACAGACAGGAUUGCGGCAUUUUUAGAAAACGUCGUUAUAGUACUUUGUGACGGUUCAAAACCGCUAUAAUAAGUCUUAAAAACCGUCGCAAUAAGCACUAUUUUUUUGUAGUGAUAAGAGCAAGAUGUUUGAUGUAUGAUGCCUAACUUAGCUAGUAACUCAGCACACAAUUGAUUCACAAAUUCAGUUCCAUUAUCAGUUCUUAUUAUUUUUAUGUAUGUGUCAAAUUGUGUUUUAACAUAAGCAAUAAAAUGUUGAAUAACAACAAGAGUAUCAGAUUUAAGCUUAAGUAAGAACACCCAAGUCAUUCUUGAAAAAUCAUCCACUAUAGUUAAGAACCAUUUUUGACCAUCACAAGUAGGCACUUUAUAAGGCCCCCACACAUCCAUAUGCACAAGAUCAAAAGGAUUCGUACUAAAACUAGGUGAUUUUAUUGGAAAAGGCAACCUAGUUUGUCUAGAACAUGGACAUAUAGAACACUUUCCAAUAAUAUCUUCUAUGUAAGAUUUUUUACUAGGAAACAAAUGACACAACACUCUAGAUGACACAUGACCAAGCCUAAUAUGCCACAAUUUUAUAGCAGCUUGAUCAGUAGUAGCUUGACUUCUCUUAACAGAAAACACAUAUGCAUUUUUGCUCUGUCCAGGCACAUUUUGAUGACUCAGUAGAUAGUAAAGGCCAGCUCUUUCUCUACCAAUCUCCUUCACCUUUCCACUGUAGAGAUCCUGAAAAACACAGAAGUUAGGAUAAAAGGUAGCUGAACAAUUGAGUUGCUUAGUUGCCUUUGAAACAUAUAAGAGAUUAUACUUAAAUUGUGGCAGAUGAUACACAUUAAGAAUAGUAUUGUUAGGUGAGAUAUGACUAGAACCAGUGUGUGACCACAGCUACAUCCCCAUUUGGCAAUGCCACUCCUUUGGAACUCACAGAAUCAGAUAUAGAGUUUUUAUUAAGAAGCUUUAUAUCUGAAGUCAUGUGGUUGGUAUCCCCUGUGUCAAUGAUCCAUUCAGGUGGACCAGAGUUUUUUUCAAGAGCAUAAUUCAUACCUGACAUGUUAGCUGCUGACACUGGCUGAGUUUAUUAUUCCAGUAUUCUGCAAAUUUGCUCAUAUUGCUCAGAGGUGAACCUUGGUUCAGAGGUGAACCUUGGAGGCAUAUGUUGCCCUGUAGAGUCAAGUGUGUCUGAUUCUUCAAAAAUAGCACCAUUGUGUGCACUUGCCCUUCUUGGUUUGUAUCUGUUAUCAUAAGAGUUGUACAACUUAUUCUCAACCCCUCAUUUCACUUCACCAUGUCUUAGAUGCCCUGGUGGAUACCCAACCAACCUGUAACAAUCCACCUUGAAGUGACCCUUUAACUUACAGUGAUCACAUACUGCAUUAGGAUCAUAAUUGGAUGUAUAUGUUUUUUUCCUUUCUAAUAACUAUUUUGAUAGUUUUGAUUUGUAGACUUGGAGUACAUAGCUACAUCAGAAUUCCCAGGCAUUGCACCCAAUAAUCCUAAGGCAUUAACAACUUGAGCUACACUCUUCUGACUUUUAUCACUCAUCACCAUUGAGUAGGCUGCAUUUACUGAUGGUAGAGGUACCAUUAACAAGAAUUGACUUCUUGCUUGAGAAUAUGUAUCAUUCAAGCCCAUAAGGAAUUGAUAGAGCUUUUGCCUCUGUAGGUACAUUAUAAAAUCCUUGGAUCGUUCAUAAUUACAUGCAGGGAAGGGAACCAUAGACUCAAACUCAUCUCAUAGUUCCUUUAGCUUAGUGAAAUAGACUGAUACAGAAUGAACUCCUUGAGAUAUAGUUGCUAUUUCUUGAUGGAUAUUAAUUGUUCUAGACCAAUCUAUCUUAUCAAAUCUUUCUUUUAAAUCCUGCCAAACACCUUGAGCAGUAGUGGCAUACACUACCCUACCAAGAAGACUACUUGAGACAGAAUUCAUCUGCCAAGAUAGGACUAUGGCAUUCACCCUUUCACAUUGACCCCACAGUUCAACAGGGAACCUUUCUUUAUUCCAAGAUCCAUCGACCAAACCCACAUUGUUUCUUCCUAAUAGCGCAAUCCUAAUAGACUUACUCCAAAACCCAUAGUUUUCACUUCCUUUUAAUUGAAACGAAAUGAUAGUCAUACCUGAAACAUCUGAAUUGGACAGGUAAAGGGGAUGAUUGAAGUCUACCGGAGCCUGCAAUCCUUGAAUCAUUGGAGGAACUCCUUUUGCAGCUGAUGAGUUCACUUGAUCUGCAACAUCAUUGACUGCUGUAUUUACCAUUUUUGACUGAUUUCAGUAGAUAAAUGCAAAAACACCAAGAAUCACGAUUCAGAGAUCAUGAAUUCACACUUCAGAGUAUACAAUUCCUUCAGGAUCGAUUACAGCUUAACUAUGUUGGCUAAGCUCUGAUACCAUGAUGAAUUAUAGAGUAAUGAAAUAAUAGACUGAGUAUUCAAGAUAGAAAGAAGAGAAAGAGGAGGAGAAGAAGAAGAAGAAGCAAAGAAGAUGGAGAUUGAUCCUUUAUUGUAUUAUUCAAGUUACUUCAAUAAUGAUCAAGAGAUCCUUUAUAUAGUAAACUAACUAACUGCCUUAACAACUAACCUACUAACAGAAUUAGUAACUAACUUACUAUACACAUGUAUAACAGAAUAUUCUUAUUGAAUGUGAGCUUACUAGCCAGGUGAGAGUAGUUGAGAGAAGAAUCGAGAAUGAAAGAGAUACAGAGGAAAAUGAAUUAACCGACUUACUUUCUCAUUAUCCCAAAAGUUCUAUUAUACACAGCUAACAACUAACAGAAAAUUAAUUACUUGGUAACUAACUCACUAACAAACUUAUAAACAAACUAACUACAUCAGCUAAUUAUAUACAAUAUUCAUUUCAUCACUCCCCCUCAAGUUGGGUGAUGGAAUAUGUCCAACAUUCCCAACUUGAACAACAUAUCACUGUGCAACUGCUUUCCUAAAGCCUUGGUGAAGAUGUCUGGCAUUUGUUCUCUGCUUGCUAUGUAAGUAGUUUUGAUAAGCCCCUCCUGUAGUCUUUCUCUGAUGAAAUGGCAGUCUAUUUCUAUGUGUUUUGUUCGUUCAUGAUACAUGGGAUUUGAAGCAAUUUGCAUAGCUGCUUUAUUGUCACAAUGGAGCUCUAUAGGCAGGUCAAUCUGAGCACCGAGUUCCUUUAAUAACCCCUGCAACCAUACUAAUUCUGCCACUGUUGUUGCCAUACUUCUGUACUCAGCUUCUGCUGAACUCCUUGAGACUGUGUUCUGUUUCUUGGACUUCCAUGAUACCAAAGAUUCACCAAUUUUAAUACCAAAACCUGUGACAGAUUUUCUGGACAGUACACACGAUGCCCAGUCUGCAUCACAAAAGGCAUUGAUUCUGCCUGACCUUGUACUGCUCAUAAAAAUCCCCAAACCAGGUUGCCCCUUAAUGUACCUUACUACAUGUAUUGCUGCAUCAAAAUGAGACUUCUUUGGGGCAUGCAUAAACUGGCUCAAAUGUUGCACAGCAAAUGAGAUAUCUGGCCUUGUCAUGGCUAAGUAUAGGAGUCUCUCAAUCAAUCUUUGAUACACUCUUCUAUCCUCUAACUCAGCAUCACCAGUGAUAUUAAAUUAAGUGGCAUACUCUAGGCUUGUCAGUUUCUGAUUUUACUCAAGAGGAGUUGUAGUUGGUUUUGCUCCAGCUAAACCACACUCUGACACUAACUUUAAAGCAUACCUCCUUUGAUUCAUUAAGAUUCCACCCUUUGACCUUGCAAAUUCAAUGCCAAGGAAAUACCUUAACUCUCCGAGAUCCUUCAUUUUGAAGUUAUGAUGCAAGAUGUCUUUUGCUUCUUGAAUUAAUUUCUCACUAUUUCCAGUGAUCAAGAGAUCAUCCACAUAUACCAAAAUGAUUGCAAUGCUACUAGUAGCAUUUGUUUUAGUAAACAGUGAGUAGUCCAGUUUGCUUUGUGUGAACCCUGAGUGUGUGAGAGCAUUGUUUAGUGUCAAAUUCCACUGCCUGCUGGCCUGUUUUAAACCAUAUAAGGAUUUGAGCAGCCUACAAACUUUGUUCUCCCCCUGGCUGCCAAAGCCGGGAGGCAGGGUCAUGUACACUUCUUCAACCAGAUCACCUUGGAGGAAAGCAUUGUAGACAUCCAUUUGGAAAAGGGACCAACCUAACUGAGCAGCUAGAGCCACAACACAUCUGACAGUGACCAUUUUAACAACAGGAGAAAAAGUGUCAUGAUAAUCCAAGCCUUCCUGUUGGGUGAAACCUUUUGCAACCAGUCUGGCUUUAUACCUCUCAACACUACCAUCAGCUUUGUACUUGAUUUUAUAUACCCAUUUUACAACCUAUAGGUACUUUGCCCAAAAGUAAAUCAACAAUUUCCCAAGUGUUGUUGUCACUGAGGGCCUGUAUCUCUUGGCCCAUAGCAAGGAUCCAACCACUGUCCUUUGCAGCUUGUGCAAAAGAAGAAGGUUCAGUCAUGGAAGAGGACAAUGUGGAAAGGUAGGACUUGUAAGAAAUAGUGAGAUUAGAGUAUGACAGGGAAGUAGAGAUAGGAUGUGGGGUCUUAGAAGAGGUGAUAUAGUCAGUGUGCCAAAUGGGAGGUUUGAUGGAUCUGGAUGAUCUUCUUUGAGGGACAAGAGAAGGAAUGGGCAAAAUAGGUGGUGCAACGGUUUCAAGGGCAGGAGAGGAGGAAGACAGUGGUGAAGAAGUGUGAUGAAGAUCAGAGGAUGGAAUAGGAAAGCAAUCAUCUGUAGGAUGAGGAAAUGGAGGGAGAGGAGUAGGAAAACAAGAAGGAUGAGAUGGAGGAAGAGAAUCAAGAAAAGUGGGUUUAGGAUGUUUGAAAGGAAAAAUAGUUUCUCGAAACGUAACAUCUCUGUUGACAAAAAAGGAACCAGAAGCAAUUUGCAUAGCUGCUUUAUUAUCACAAUGGAGCUCUAUAGGCAGGGAUAGAUUUAGAGGAGAAUUUGUCAGUGACAUUUGGUUUGGUGGCAUAACAUAAGCAUCCAAAAACUCUAAGAAAGUGCAGGUGAGGAACUUGAUUAUAAAAGACUUCAUAAGGAGAUUUUCCUGCUAAAACAGAAGAAGGAAGUCUAUUGAUAAAGAAAGUAGCAGUAAGAACACAUUCCCCCCAAAAUUUUAAGGGCACAUGAGCUUGAAACCUUAGAGCCCUAGCCAUCUCAAGAAGAUGUCGGUGUUUCCUCUCAGCAAUGCCAUUUUGCUGAGGGGUAUGCACACAGGUACUCUAAGGAAGAAAAAAGGGUGUGACAUUGGUUGUUGAAGAACUCCAGGCCAUUAUCUGAUCUAACAAUUUUAACAGUUGCUGAAAAUUGAGUUUUGAUAAGAGUAAUGAAAGCUGAAAUGAAAGUCACAACCUCACUUUUAUAUCUCAACAAAAAUAUCCAAGUCAUUCGUGUAUAGUCAUCAACAAUGGUAAGAAAGUAUCUAUGACCAUUGUAAGUACAUUGCUUAUAAGGACCCCAAACAUCCAUAUGAAAAAGUUCAAAAGAGGCUACAGUUUUCUUAGUACUAGAAUGAAAAGGUAAUCUAGUUUGCCUUGCAAGGGGGCAAACAUGACAAGAAGGAAAAACUUGAUGUUGGAAAAUAGGCUUCAGAGAGGCAAUCUUUUGGAGGACAGCAACAGGAGCAUGUCCAACUCUCAGAUGCCAAACAGAGGGAUCAGGAGAGGAUGAGGAAUUCAAAUUGAAUGAGGAACUGGAAUGAAGUGCAGUGGAAAGUGAUGGUUGCUUGGUAGAUGAUGGGAGCAUGUAAAGACCUCCUUUCUCCUUACCAAUCCCCCUCUCCUUGCCAGUGCAAAAGUCCUGAAAAAGGCAAAAAUGGGGAUAAAAAGACACACACCAGUUCAGUUCUUUAGUUAGUUUGGAAAUAGAUAAAAGGUUAUAUGAGAAUUGAGGAAUGUAAAGGACAUUAUGGUAAAUGUCCAUUAGGUAAAUGCACACUGCUAGAAACAGAAUGUGCAGGAGUAGGGUUGAGUAGUGUAUCCUUGCUAGCAACCAUGUGAUGUGUAGCCCCAGAGUCCACAAUCCAGGAAACUGCAUCAUUACCUGCAGCAAAACAAGUAUGGGAUGUAUUGAAUGUCAAAGGAACAUUACGGGUAAUACCUGCCAUGUAGGAUAAAAUCUCCUGAGGUGCAGAAUCUUUGUCAAUCAGUUUCAGCAGAUGAUUAUAUUGAUCAGGGGUAAAUGUUGGCACAGUUUGACAAAAAAGACUAUUAUCAGGAGUAGGAUUCUGGUUCUCAGUACAAGCCACAUUAUUCACAUAAGGCCUUCUAUUUCCUCCAGAAUUCUGUGGUCUGUUAUUGCCAGAGCUUUGAUCCCUAAAACUUCUGUCAUCUACCCCUUUCUUCUUAGUGAACUUGUAGUGUUGAGGGUACCCAAUUAACCUAUAACAAUUAGCUCUUGUGUGAUUUUUCAGGUGGCAAUGAUCACAGUAUAACCCUGUGCUCUGGUUAGAUUUAUUGUUGUGAACUGAGGCAAGUGCAGUAGGAUCAUGAAUCUCUAACUUCUGUAGGGGCAACACACAAUUGGAUAUCAAACUAGACUGCAUUCUCUGACUUUCAUCCUGCAUAAUCAUGUUAUAUGCUUGAUUGAGGCUAGGACUAGGAACUGUGAGGAGUAUCUGACUUCUCGAUUGAGCAAAGUUAUCAUUUAACCCCAUCAGAAACUGCAUAAGCUUUUGCCUCUCCAUGUGUUCUGCAUAAACUCUAUAUUUAUCACACUCACAUGAUGGUAAUGGUACUAGGGACACGUAUUCAUCCCAGAGGUUUCUCAACUUAGAAUAAUACUCGGAAACAGUGAAUGUUCCUUGACUCAUAGUGCUAAUUUCUCGGUGAAUCUGAUAGAUCCUAGUUAGAUUGCGUUUGUCGAACCUCUCUUUCAGAUCCUUCCAAACACUAUGUGCAUUGUAUGAAACCAUCAGGCCAUUGGCCAAUUCUUUCAAAACUGAAUUGGUGAUACAGGAUAACACAAAGGCAUUACACCUCUCCCACUCAUGUUCUAGAUCUCCUUUGUAGUGUUCCUUUCGACAAUUUCCAUCAAUGAAACCUAUUUUAUUCUUCGCUAACAGUGCUACUCUCAUGGAAUUACUCCAUCCAGUAUAAUUCUCAAUACCAGUAAGCUGUUGAGGAAUUAAAAUGCUACCUGGUGUAUCUGAUGGAUGCAGAUACAAAGGAUUUCUGGGGUGAAUAUCUGUGAAUCUCUCGAUCUGUUCUGGAAUUGAGGUAUUCCUCUCCUGAUUCGAAAUUUCUGAGGAAUCGACUCGAGCUCCAACUCCGUUCGCCAUUAUCGAAUCAAAUCGGUGAUGAAUUUAUGAUUUUCUGGUGAAUUUGUGUUUUCCGGUGAGUGAAUUAUCGUCGGUGACCAACUGAUCUUCCAAUUCUCGAAUUCUAUCAGACUCAAGUCUGCUACACCAGUCUACAGGGAUUUAAGCCGGCCGAGCGACGUCGGGGCAAAACUAAGGCCUAUCGGAUCCGAAUCAUGUAUUUCUAAGGCAAGCCCUAGUCAAACCUAAGCUAAGGUCCAACAUGCUUCAAAUAAACAGUAAUUAAGCAUGCAAGUACUCCACAUAGCGAGGAGGGUCCAUUAAUAACACAAAGCAUGCUCACAGUUACCCGAUAAUUCUCGAAAUAGGCCGAAAACAUGAUUUCUAAUCACCUAUGCAUGAUUCAAUAACUACCCAACCCAAAUCCCAACUAAUCAACAUGCAUUCACAUUCUCGAGCUCAAUCUAAGAGAGGGAAAACCGUAGCCUACCUGUAGGCCAAUCACACGAGCUCCAAAAUAACUUCUCCGGAGCUUUCCCUUUCCGAACGUCCUCGAAACGCUGCCCCGCUAUCAAAAAUAGGAUCACAACGUUAUUACAGUCGUUUAGACACCAAAAUCACAACAAACGGAGACGGGUCAAUUUUGGAGUCAAAACGGGAAUCGUGGGACCCGCGCAGGGAAUUCCGAAAUUAACCCCAAAAGUGGGUCCUAACCAGUUUUCCCAGCUCAUGUCCCAAAAUGGGACACAAUUCGGGGCUCGGGAACAACACAAUAUCAACAUGCAACUAAAACCCAAAUUUUCUCAAAAAUCGAAAUGGGAAAGCAGUGUAUUUACCAAAAAGGAGCGAUCUACAGUAAAAUCUAACAACACCAUAAUGUUCUCCUCGAAAAACCACUCAAGAUAGCCUCAAAAAUCACCAAAAUCGGAUCUAAAAUGGCUAAGAAACAAGUCUCAAAAUUUCCAAAAUCAAGUCACAAAAGAGGUCUGGCAGCAGGUAUUUUCGAAAUUACCUCAAACGGGGACUCCAAAUCACUAUCCGACCUCACCAACACGUUGUCCUUAAAAAAUCUCACAACUUAGCCUUUUGGAUCACCCAAAUCGGUUGAGAGAUGAGAGAGAGAUGAGGGUUUGAAGUUUGGGAAAUGUGGCUGAUUUUCUGCAAUUAUUGCAGAAAAUCUGCAACAUUUCCAAAAUUUUAAAUUCCGACGGGGUGCUCCGAUCUCGUUCGGAACCCCGUGCACGCAAACGAGAUAUACAACCAUACCAAAUUAGAUAUUCCAGACUCAACGGCGCAGUCAAAAUUUCCAUCAGAGGUCAUUUCGAUAAAAAGUGGGUCCCACUUCCAAAAGCCAUUUUAAGUCAAAACCCACAAACGUCGAAUGAGCAUUACGGGUAAUACCUGCCAUGUUGGAUAAAAUCUCCUGAGGUGCAGAAUCUUUGUCAAUCAGUUUCAGCAGAUGAUUAUAUUGAUCAGGGGUAAAUGUUGGCACAGUUUGACAAAAAAGACUAUUAUCAGGAGUAGGAUCCUGGUUCUCAGUACAAGCCACAUUAUUCACAUGAGGCCUUCUAUUUCCUCCAGAAUUCUGUGGUCUGUUAUUGCCAGAGCUUUGAUCCCUAAAACUUCUGUCUUACGGAGCUGAUGGAAUUGUCAAAAUUGGAUUCCAAUGUCAUCUUCUUGAACUUUUGAUCGAAAAUGAUCGUUCAAGGUUCAUAAGCUCCAAAACACAAAAGCUCGCACCAAGACCAAACGAACGACCAGGUGACCGAAUUGUCAGUCCCAGCAAGUCAUAAAUGACUUGGGGUCGCUAUAGGAACGCUCUAAACGACACACAGAAGGCAAGACACAGAAAUGACCAUGAGGGUCAUUACAUCUACCCCUUUCUUCUUAGUGAACUUGUAGUGUUGAGGGUACCCAAUUAACCUAUAACAAUUAGCUCUUGUGUGAUUUUUCAGGUGACAAUGAUCACAGUAUAACCUUGUGCUCUGGUUAGAUUUAUUGUUGUGAACUGAGGCAAGUGCAGUAGGAUCAUGAAUCUCUAACUUUUGUAGGGGCAAAACACAAUUGGAUAUCAAACUAGACUGCAUUUUCUGACUUUCAUCCUGCAUAAUCAUGUUAUAUGCUUGAUUGAGGCUAGGACUAGGAACUAUGAGGAGUAUCUGACUUCUCGAUUGAGCAAAGCUAUCAUUUAACCCCAUCAGAAACUGCAUAAGCUUUUGCCUCUCCAUGUGUUCUGCAUAAACUCGAUAUUUAUCACACUCACAUGCUGGUAAUGGUACUAGGGACACGUAUUCAUCCCAGAGGUUUCUCAACUUAGAAUAAUAUUCAGAAACAGUGAAUGUUCCUUGACUCAUAGUGCUAAUUUCUCGGUGAAUCUGAUAGAUCCUAGUUAGAUUGCGUUUGUCGAACCUCUCUUUCAGAUCCUUCCAAACACUAUGUGCAUUGUAUGAAAACAUCAGGCCAUUGGCCAAUUCUUUCGAAACUGAAUUCGUGAUCCAGGAUAACACAAAGGCAUUACACCUCUCCUACUCAUGUUCUAGAUCUCCUUUGUAGUGUUCCUUUCGACAAUUUCCAUCAAUGAAACCUAUUUAUUUUUCGCUAACAGUGCUACUCUCAUGGAAUUACUCCAUCCAGUAUAAUUCUCAAUACCAGUAAGCUGUUGAGGAAUUAAAAUGCUACCUGGUGUAUCUGAUGGAUGCAGAUACAAAGGAUUUCUUGGGUGAAUAUCUGUGAAUCUCUCGAUCUGUUCUGGAAUUGAGGUAUUCCUCUCCUGAUUCGAAGUUUCUGAGGAAUCGACUCCAGCUCCAGCUCCGUUCGCCAUUAUCGAAUCGAAUCGGUGAUGAAUUUAUGAUUUUCUGGUGAAUUGUGUUUUCCGGUGAGUGAAUUAUCGUCGGUGACCAACUGAUCUUCCAAUUCUCGAAUUGUGCGGAAAAAACUCUCUAGAACAGCUAGAAUUUCAUCGGAACCUACAGCUUUGAUACCAUAUUGAAUGUGAGCUUACUAGCCAUGUGAGAGUAGUUGAGAGAAGAAUCGAGAAUGAAAGAGAUACAGAGGAAAAUGAAUUAACCGACUUACUUUCUCAUUAUCCCAAAAAGUUCUAUUUAUACACAGCUAACAACUAACAGAAAAUUAAUUACUUGGUAACUAACUCACUAACAAACUUAUUAACAAACUAACUACAUCAGCUAAUUAUAUACAAUAUUCAUUUCAUCAAUUCUAGAUCAUUGUAUAUCCUCAACAAUUUGAAAACUAAAUCAAUUGAGCAAGGAAAACAAAAUUAGAAGGUAAUAUAGACAUCAAAAUAAUUUUAUCGUAUAUCAUCAUAAUCUGAAACAAAUGAAUGAAUCAACAAAUUGUAUCUUACAAAUCUAUGCUCAACUAUAUUAUAAAUAUCCUAUUAUGUAAAUUCUGUUUGUCUCUCUAGACCAAAGUGGAGCAUGAAGAUGUAGCAGGAUCAUAUAGAGCAGGAACCAAAUAUUUCCUUCCGUUUGUACCAUGCGCAUUGUAGCUUGCACCUGUUGUUUUAUCCACCAAUAAAUCUCCAGCGUAGCCUGGGUAAGCGCCUUUGGCGUAGACACCAGGGCAAGCAGAGGCAGCUUCCAAUGGCGCAUCUGCUUCGCCCUGGUAGUAACCGUUUCCAAAUGGGUUUGUAGCGGUUCCAGCUAAUAAGCUAGCUAAGUUAAUCACCAUACCGUCAACACCCACAUCGUUGUUUGGUGCACCCAAUGGUGAGCUUUGUGGACCGUAGAUGGGCUGGUGGAAAGGCCAAGCACAAUAGCCAGGACAAAAAGUCUCUGAGUUACCAACCCAAAUAUAAGCAAAUUUGUAAGUUUUGCCGUUAAUAACAGCACCCUUAGAAGCCCCAUGAGUUCCACACCGAUUAACACAGAACCCAUCAACGGCGACAUCAGAGGCGGUCAAAACAACGUUAAUGGCGUCUUGCUGUUCACCCUUUGAUGCCAAUUGCACAAUUUGCUUCUGGGUCAGUGAUUUUCCUAGGGAAUAAUUUUCGAUGAGAAUUUGUUUGCCCAAAUUAAGGGAAAGGGUGUUCUUAGAAUUAGCGAGAUGGUAGUAUUUUUCAGUGGUUUUCCACCACUGUGCUACUGAAGGAUUGGUUUUAGAUGGAGUCGAAGAAGAAAGAGAGGUGAUGAAAUCAGAUACAAUAGCUCUUUGAGACGGCUUGAAUUUACCAUACCAGAUCAGAUUAACAGAGAUUUUGCCAGAAAGAAGUGCACCCUUGUGGUAAUUCAAGAGCUGCAUUUGUGGGUCUUGUACUAAAGCAGUGAGCUUUCUUGAAGCAAAGCACACAUUAAAGAAGGAAAUAACAAGAAAGAUUUUCAAAAUGAAAUGGGUCGAAUUGGAACUGAAAGAAGACAUAUUUUGUUCCUUUUGUAUUUCUUUGUAAAUAGAAGCUCUAAGUUUUGAUGGAAAUUUGAGUGUGUGAGUAGUUUGGAUGUUGGAGAAGAGAGGCGGAUUAUAUAUAGCGCAAUUGAAAGAGUGCAUUUUGCUUGUUACGAAGGUGCGAAGAAGUAGAAAAGUUGACUUUAAUAUAAAACGCGUUUGGCAUUAAGUGUUAGUAGCUGUGUAAAAUAAGGAAGAGAAGAACUUUACUGCCAACUAAUAGCGGUUUCUAUUUCCACGGCCCUACUAUGGGUAUCGCUCACUGCUAUAAUUGACUUCAUUAGUGUUGCUGCACCACCACUUUCGUGAUAGUCAAAAUAUUGAAAGAAAUGUGCAAAACAUGGCAAUGUAAAUAUACUAACCCACAUCCCCACAACUACUUCAUCCAUUUCCAAUUUUAGGUAAUACAUUUUUUUUUCAUUGUUAGUUUAUUUGAGGAAAAGAUAUUUUAAGUUUUAGAUCAAUUUUGGUAACUAUUAUUCCUUAAUAGGAAUGGAGAGGGUAUGUCCAAAAUAUGUUUUAAAAAGUAAAGGGAAUCAAUCCGCACCUUCGAAGUACACAAUUUAUCAAAAUGGUGGUGAAUUCGAUCUUUAUGGAUAAGCUUCAUACAUGCCGCGUCUUAGACAUGUUGUAGAUUGCCUAUUUCUCAUACUGCCCUGUCUAGUUAAUACUCCCUUGCCCACUCCUCAAUCCUCAUACCUGCCUUGUGAGUGAAGUUAUUAAUACAUACUAGGUUAGUACUAAAGUCACCAUUAUAUUCACGCACUCACCAGAAAAGAGAUAUAUUGCAAAACAUGCUUCGUCUUCUUUUUUUUUAAGAUUUUUUUUUUUUUUGAUGAUAGUGGAGUUCCUUUGAUGAACACUAGCGUGAGAAGCAUUUUCACGACCCCUUCUUUACCACUGAGCUUUCAAUCGGUUUUGUUAAAUGUUCACAAAUUAGUGUACAUACAUAUUUAUUUAAUUUUCUAACAGUGGCGGCUCAACGCAAUCGGAAGCCUAAAGCGAAAUUUCAACUAGAGGCCUAAAAUCUAAAUAAACUUUAUAUGCAUUAUUUUUUUAAAAAAAAAGUUCUUACAUUUUUAGAUGCAAAGUAUAUAUACUCAAUAUUUUUUUUAUAAAUGAUUUAUUCGAUUUCUUUUUCAAUUAUUAGCUUCAGACAAGAUUUUAUCAAUUCAAUGCUGAAAACAUAUUUUUACUCAUGCAAUUAUUAUAUCAAUUGCUAACAUACUUCUAUAAGUAAUAAGUUGGCAAAUUUCAAGAUAAGAGUUAGAACCAUAGAAUUUGAUUCAAGAAGUUGAUAAUUUGUAUACUCCACAUUUUACUAUGUUUGUUGUAAUACUUGAAAAUCUAAGAAAAAAUAGAACAAGAAUUUACAAUUCGCUUUGUUCAACACUUUUUUACUAUUGAUUCAUAUUUUUAACAGAGUACUACUCUAACUUAUCAAAAAUUUAAAGAAGAGAGUGUAAUAGGAGUUAAAAGAAUAAAAUAACGUGAAUAUUAGUGUAGAGAGUGUAAGAAAAUAAAAUAUUUUUUCUUAAUUUCUUCUAUUUAAAUGGGAUUAAAGAGAAUAAAAUAGUAUUUGUAAUAUAUAUAUAUAUAUAUAUAUAUAUUAUAAAUAAUUAUUUUUUUCUAUAAAAAAACAAACACAUAAUUUAUUCUUAGUAAAAAUUUAAGUCCCCUAAAAUUGGGGAACCUAAGGCAAAUGCCUUAUUCAAAUAAGCAUAGAGCCGGCCCUGUUUUCUAAUACAAAUAUAUAGUCUACGAGAAAGCUAUUGGGUUCGUCCUCUCCUAGUUAUGUCUCUGCCACCACUUAAAUUAUAAUAUGUGCCUCUACUCGAAGCGUCGUGUCCAUUAUAAUUACUAACGCGUUAUGGACUAGCUGUCACUUUGCAGUUUACACAGCUUCACUCCAAGUUUUUAGGCAUUUGUACAUUAUUUCAGUUCAACUUGGAAAAGAAUAAAAUUUUAAAUUACGGUCAUACAAAAUAAUAUGUACAGGUUUAAAUUUGUGAAAAUAACCCGAAAUGCACCUUCAAAUCAUAUUAUAUUUCAAUUGAAACUCAUUUCAGUGUAUAUUUUCAUAUGGUGUCGUAUUUCUUUUUGUUUACCCAUUAUACUUGUAAUUUCAAAAAACAAAUUAUAUCCUAUAACACCUAGCGGGGGAAUAAGUGAAAAAUCCUUGAAAACAAUUUCCUUGUAUAUUCCAAUUCCAAUUCCAAUUAAAUAUAUUGGCAGCUCCUUCAAUUAUACAUUAUUAUUAGCAUUUAGUAAAAAAUGAAAACAGAGCCUACUAAAUAAUUGGCUUCUCCAUGUUUAUGCUUAAUAGACUUUCUUCCAAGUCUUAUACAGUAUAUAAAAUGUAAAGCUAAUAAUUUUCUUAGGUGCGCAACUAAUAAGCCUUGGCCUAAUUGAACAUCUCUAAUUAAUUAAGCUGAAUUCCCAAAAUAUUGUUGAUUUGCAUUACCUGUCUUUGUUUGUAAACUAAAUCAAUUGAGUAAGGAAAACAAAAUUAGAAGGUAAUAUAGACAUAGCAAAAUAAUUUUAUCGUAUAUUAUCAUAAUCUGAAACAAAUGAAUGAAUCAACAAAUUGUAUCUUACAAAUCUAUGCUCAACUAUAUUAUAAAUAUCCUAUUAUGUAAAUUCUGUUUGUCUCUCUAGACCAAAGUGGAGCAUGAAGAUGUAGCAGGAUCAUAUAGAGCAGGAACCAAAUAUUUCCUUCCGUUUGUACCAUGUGCAUUGUAGCUUGCACCUGUUGUUUUAUCCACCAAUAAAUCUCCAGCGUAGCCUGGGUAAGCGCCCUUAGCGUAGACACCAGGGCAAGCAGAUGCAGCUUCCAACGGCGCAUCUUCUUCACCCUGGUAAUAACCGUUUCCAAAUGGGUUUGUGGCGGUUCCAGCUAAUAAGCUAGCUAAGUUGAUCACCAUACCGUCAACACCCACAUCGUUGUUUGGUGCACCCAAUGGUGGGCUUUGUGGUCCGUAGAUGGGCUGGUGGAAUGGCCAGGCGCAGUAACCAGGACACAGAGUCUCUGAGUUACCGACCCAGAUAUAAGCAAAUUUGUAAGUUUUGCCCUUAAUAACUGCA
rnacentral:lncRNA from 1 species